GUAGGUGGCAAGCGUUGUCCGGAAUUAUUGGGCGUAAAGCGCGCGCAGGCGGGUCCUUUAAGUCUGAUGUGAAAGCCCACGGGCUCAACCGUGGAGGGUCAUUGGAAACUGGGGGACUUGAGUACAGAAGAGGAAAGCGGAACUCCAAGUGUAGCGGUGAAAUGCGUAGAGAUUUGGAGGAACACCAGUGGCGAAGGCGGCUUUCUGGUCUGUAACUGACGCUGAGGCGCGAAAGCGUGGGGAGCAAACAGGAUUAGAUACCCUGGUAGUCCACGCCGUAAACGAUGAGUGCUAAGUGUUAGGGGGUUUCCGCCCCUUAGUGCUGCAGCUAACGCAUUAAGCACUCCGCCUGGGGAGUACGGCCGCAAAGGCUG
rnacentral:rRNA from 1 species